rnacentral:misc_RNA from 1 species
GAGAGAGAGAGAGAGAGAGGAAGAUUAGGUGGAUUGUUCGGUCUGGGGCCUUGGAGGUCUCAAAGGCGAAGGGGAUUGUGGUUUUUCUUGGGGCGGGGAACACACUGGGCUAGAGAUGUCUGCACUGUGUAGUACGUGGGUUGGGUUUCUCUGUGGUCCAGCUUAAACCCUUGAGCUGUCGGUUGAUGGUUUUGCAUUUCAGCAUAUGCGAAUCAGAUUCAAACUUUUUAUUUCAUAAUUAGUUGAAAUUAAGCAAAGAAACAAAUAAGUAGAAUAUAAGAAGAAUUCUUCUAGAAGAUCACAAGCUUUGACACUUUGACUUUUGCUUUAGAAUCUUCGGUUGCG